GAUCUGAUAAAACCAUUUUGACAAAAAACACCCUGCCGCAUUUGCCCGUGUCCGCCGCCGCCGACCGCAACCAGCGCCUCCAUGCGCGGGCAGCUCGCGCCUGUGCCUCCCUGCCGCCCCGCGCCGCCGCCCACCGGAGCUCCGCUGCCGGACCAACGCGCCGCCAUGCCCUCCUCUCCUUCUUCCUUCCCCUCCCUCUUGUUCUAUUUCUCACAUCCCCCUCCCUCUCUCCUUCGCAGGAAGCGGAAGCCAUGGCCCUGGAACUCCAUGCCAGACCGCCGCUCCGCGCUGGCCGGCCAUCAGAGCGCCGCCGCCGGACCAACGCGCCGCCCUGCCCUCCUCUCCUACUUCCCUCCCUUCCUCUGGUUCUAUUUCUCACAUCCCUCUCUCUCUCUCCCCCUUCACAGGAAGCGGAAGCCAUGGUCGUUGGAUCUCCAUGCCGGACCGCCACCCCACGCCGGCCGGCCACUGGAGCGCCGCCUCCGGAGCAACGCGGGUUGCCGCGCUGGACCGCAAGCGGAUGCACUGGUUGUGCUCGACGGAGAUGGGCCCUGUGUGCGUGCCCCCGCAGCCUGGACGAAACUCCGGCGAGGCCAUGAGCUCCCGAGCCCCAACCCGGGUGUAGGAGCGUACGGGAGCGCCGUCGUGGAUCCUGCGCGUCCUAGGUCCGCCGAGGCCACGGGCUCCCAAGCCAGGCAUAGGUGCGUACUGGAGCAACGCCCGCCUGGGCGAGGUCCUCCUGCUUCUGGAGGAGGCGAACAAGCCGAGCCAAGCCAUGAGGCGCCCGUGGCCAACACAGUCUAUUAAACCUUCGAUAUGCUGGAGGGUGAUGAGGUGACAUGGAGCUAAACAUAGAUUGAAGAUUCUGUCAUGGGUUCCUCAGAGAAGAUAGAACAAAUGCGUAUGGAGAUCCAGCUGUUGAAGACGCCGAGGGACAAGAACAUUCAGGAGUUGUUUGCCUAAUGGGUUGGUGAGAACAAGAAUACAGUUAACAUCAUCACAGAGCCCUGCACAUCUCGCAUGCGAGGCAGUUCUGUAGGAAGCACAAGAAAGUGGGUAUGAAAGCUAUGAGACGAUGGCCAAUGCAGAUAUUGACAGGGCUGGAAUAUCAUUAGAGUCCGGCGCCAACGAAUAUACAUAGCGACUUCAAGUGUGACAAUAUAUUCAUAAAUAGUCCUGAUGGAACAGUGAAGAUCGGCGACUAUAUGGUCUGGCGACAUUAUUGCAUCAAUGGAAAAAGCAAAGUGUCAAAGGCGCAUUAGACUUUACGGCACUAGAACACUUCACUGGCAAUACAAUGAGUUGCUUGGGUAUUCCAAUCCCCUUGCUGAACCCUGUGCUAUUCGCAGCCUCUUCUAUCAAUCCAGCAGCACACCGCUGCCCUUCGCAUCCUCCCUGCAUCACUGCAACUGGGCCGUGCUCACAUCGUCUGCGGUCACAUGCGCAAUCUCUGCGCUCGACGCUGCCUCCACUGAGAUUCAUUGCAAGGGUGCCUGAAACGCCCACUGCUGGGUACAUGCAUACAACAAUUAUGCCAUGUCUUCCCUAUUCGAUUGGUCGCACAGGUAUGUUUCUUUUCCUUCUUUGUUUAGUUUUAAAGAAAAGAUUAAUUUCUGAACUCACCAUAUUUUUAUACUAUAUAUAAGCAUGGAUGACUAGAAUAGUUGAUUGUCAGUUCACUUAUAUUUCUGCUAUGGAAAGGAGCAUCAGUUUUACGCAUGCUUCCCGGGUCCUUGGUGAGAGGCCUCUGUGAUGUUAUUCUUUUAGGUAAGCUUUACUCAGGUUGCUACUCAUGUCACAGUGUCUGUAAUUUAGCCAGAGUCAGGUUCAGAGUUAUUGACUGAAUUUUUCGGGCACAACCAUCAAGCAACCUGAGUAAAGCUUACCUAAGCCAAUGAUUUUGUUCUUUUAGCUAGAGUCAGGUUCAGAGUUGUUCACUCUGGAUUUUUUGGGCACAACCAUCAAGCAAGCUAGCACAUAUUGUUUAACUGAAGCAAAGGGCAGCUAAGCUAUGAAUGCUUCAUUCUUUGUUCUACACAAAUGCAGCUACUAUUUGUAUUUGAUCUGAGCAAAGGUGCAACCAAUUGAAGUUAUUUUGAAGAACCUGCACCUGAGUAUAUAUGUUCUGAUUUUAUAGCCUGCAGAGUCUGUAGAGUAAAGUUUGUACAUUUUGUGAAUCGCUUUGUUCCGGUUUCCCUUGGUGUAUAGUCUAUACUGUAUCAGGUUAUUUACUAUGUGCAGAUUUGUUUGUGCCAUUGCCGAUCAUGUACUUCUUUCUGUGCUUGGAAGCAUAGUCUCAUCGUAUCCCCUAGAUCUGUAUAAGUAUAUUUAGCUCACAUACACUUGGCAUUUGUUCUUCAAAAGGCGAUGUCCUCGAUGCUGGACUCCUGGUAACAGUUUAUUACAUGUUAUUUCUUUUUUUGGUGAGUCUUUUCUUGAGAUUUAGGAUUAUGGAGUUAACGGGUGUUACUUUUGACCUGCUAAUACAGCUGCGUUAAACUUUUUGCUCUUCGAAAGCAACUAUGUAAGUCUGACGCUAACAUAAUGUUUACUGCUAAAAUACUUCAGUAGGUAUAACUUAGAGUCAGGAACACAAGUAGAAUUUCAUAGAAAUUUGUCUAGCUCCUGUAGAUGAAAGACUUCCUGCAAGUGAGCUCUUGAAUAACUCUUACCUCCAGGAAGAUGAGGUCUAUUCCAGCGCCUUCAAUUUCAGUCUCUCUGGUCUCAAGUGUGACUGAAGAUGGGUGGCAAUCUGCAAGUUUCGUGCUUUGGAAGGGUGAAUUCUUACUGAAAAACCAUAUGUAUCUUACUGACCAUAUUAAUUUAUUGCUAAGGUUUCCUCAUACCACUGGCUGUUUAAAGAAUGCUGAGUUGUCAAGCGAGGUGCUGCAGUGGCUGGCGUUGUCGGGCAUGGGACGACGUCUCUAGGCUCCUGCCUGAGGCAAGCCUCUCCGGCCUCCUCGGAUGCCCUCUAGGAACUGGCACUGCGUAUGAUGGUCUCCUCACCUAGCACCUAGGUUGACCUAGCCACCGCCAUCAAAGCGGAGAGUUGACAACAUAUGUAUGAUUGUUGGACGUGUCAGUCCUGCCAUUGACAUGUUCAAAACUAUGAAUUGAGUGAUUACAAAUAUGCUUUGAUCAAUGAAAUGAAAGGAUGUUCUGUUA